ACUGCUCAGUAACACGUGGACAACCUGACCAAAAGUCUGGGAUAACCCCGGGAAACUGGGGAUAAUACCGGAUAGAUCAUCCUUCCUGGAAUGGUGGGUGGUUGAAACUUCAGGGGCUUUUGGGUGGGUCUGCGGCUGAUUAGGUUGUUGCCGGUGUAACGUACCGUCAAGCCAGUUAUCAGUACGGGUUGUGGGAGCAAGAGCCCGGAGAUGGAUUCUGAGACACGAAUCCAGGCCCUACGGGGCGCAGCAGGCGCGAAAACUCUACAAUGCAGGCAACUGCGAUAGGGGAACAUCGAGUGAUACUCAUAUUGGGUGUCUGUCCUUCCGUCUAAAAAACGGGAGUUAGCAAGGGCCGGGCAAGACCGGUGCCAGCCGCCGCGGUAAUACCGGCGGCUCGAGUGGUGGCCGAUAUUAUUGAGUCUAAAGGGUCCGUAGCCGGCUUGGCAAGUCUCUUGGGAAAUCCGGCGGCUUAACCGUCGGUCGUCCGGGAGAUACUACUUUGCUUGGGACUGGGAGAGGCGUGAGGUACUCAGGGGGUAGGAGUGAAAUCCUGUAAUCCUUUGGGGACCACCGGUGGCGAAGGCGUCACGCCAGAACAGGUCCGACGGUGAGGGACGAAAGCUAGGGGCACGAACCGGAUUAGAUACCCGGGUAGUCCUAGCCGUAAACGAUGCUCGCUAGGUGACACGACAAUCGUGAAUUGUCGUGGUGCCGUAGGGAAGCCGUGAAGCGAGCCACUUGGGAAGUACGACCGCAAGGUUGAAACUUAAAGGAAUUGGCGGGGGAGCAC
rnacentral:rRNA from 1 species